ensembl:lncRNA
CCCAGAAUGGCUCAGUAGGGUAGGGGUGUGUGGUGAAGAUAUAGGAGAGUCCCUCUCUCCAGACUGGCUCAGUAGGGCAGGGGUGUGUGGUGAAGAUAUAGGAGUCUCGCUCCAGACUGGCUCAGUAGGGCAGGGGUGUGUGGUGAAGAUAUAGGAGAGUCUCUCUCUCCAGAAUGGCUCAGUAGGGCAGGGGUGUGUGGUGAAGAUAUAGGAGAGAGUCUCCCUCCAGACUGGCUCAGUAGGGCAGGGGUGUGUGGUGAAGAUAUAGGAGAGUCUCUCUCUCCAGAAUGGCUCAGUAGGGUAGGGGUGUGUGGUGAAGAUAUAGGAGAGUCUCUCUCCCCAGAAUGGCUCAGUAGGGUAGGGGUGUGUGGUGAAGAUAUAGGAGAGUCCCUCUCUCCAGAAUGGCUCAGUAGGGCAGGGGUG